rfam:Coccomyxa subellipsoidea C-169, whole genome shotgun sequence.
GCCCGGGUAGCUCAGUCGGUAGAGCGCAAGGCUCUUAACCUUGUGGUCGAGGGUUCGAGCCCCUCCUCGGGCG